UGGACGUGACCAUAAAGAAAAAUUCCCAUUAGGUUGUCUAUAUGCUACUUGUCUAGCAGUUAACCUGUUGGGAACAUCU